CCUACGGGGGGCAGCAGUGGGGAAUAUUGGACAAUGGGCGAAAGCCUGAUCCAGCCAUGCCGCGUGUGUGAAGAAGGCCUUCGGGUUGUAAAGCACUUUCAGUGGGGAAGAAAGCCUUGGGGCUAAUACCCUCGAGGAAGGACAUCACCCACAGAAGAAGCACCGGCUAACUCCGUGCCAGCAGCCGCGGUAAUACGGAGGGUGCGAGCGUUAAUCGGAAUUACUGGGCGUAAAGCGCGCGUAGGCGGUCUGAUAAGCCGGUUGUGAAAGCCCCGGGCUCAACCUGGGAACGGCAUCCGGAACUGUCAGGCUAGAGUGCAGGAGAGGAAGGUAGAAUUCCCGGUGUAGCGGUGAAAUGCGUAGAGAUCGGGAGGAAUACCAGUGGCGAAGGCGGCCUUCUGGACUGACACUGACGCUGAGGUGCGAAAGCGUGGGUAGCAAACAGGAUUAGAUACCCGAGUAGUC
rnacentral:rRNA from 1 species